GCGUCACUGAUGAGUCUAAUAGGGACGAAACGCGCGUCUGGCAU
rnacentral:hammerhead_ribozyme from 1 species